ACCUGAAUCGUAGGACACCGAGCUGAUGUUCUGGAACUGUUUGUUGGGGGAGAGGCACCCAAUUUGGGAUUGGGUCUGGAAAGCCCCAUUCAAAGCCCCUAACAGGAACCCUUCUGCAUGCAAGUGGGCAGACGGAUGACUACCUGCAACAGAGGUGACGGCCACUCUAACGCAGCACGUGGGUGAUGCUGGGGUACCUCAGGUCUGAUAACAGCGGGUGAAAGCGUGGCGUGAGAGCCUCAAGGGGAAAGAGAAGAGCAACAGAAGGCCCUAUGGUGCGCUCAGACUGUUCAGGCCCUGGACCCCCUCUUGAGGCCCCUGCUGGCCCAGAGACCAAAACUCAAGAGAGGCCUGCAGGCCAGCAAGUAUGAGGCAUCAGGAGAAACGCUGUUCUUGCUGAGGAGACUUCAUAUAACAGGCACGUGUGCACCAUGAUGGGCAGACGAUGCAGAGUAACGGCCAGCUUCUCAUAGGAAGGGAACAAGGCAACCAUCCCUUAGGAGCAAGAGUGACCUCGUGCCUGGUGGUGAUGGCCACUCUGGACAUUGCCCACAACUGGAUGGUUCUAACGGCAAACGUUUGAUGAUCUGCCUGUUCUGGCUGGAUUUGCUUAUGGCGUUGGCCAUGGAUGAACACUCAGAUAGCUGGCUUCCCGGGACCCUCACCAGAAAACGGCAUUUUCUGCUGAGAAGCUAUGAGCAACUGAGAGGAACUAGGAUGUCUGGUUGGACCACACAGUGACUGCCAAUAACACCUUCUAGCAGAGACAGCUCGGGCGGCUCCCCUGUUAGGGGCCACCCAGCGCGGGGAUCGGAGGCAUAGACUAGGGGGGUGGGUCAUGUAGAAACGACCCAGAGGAGGAGGCAUUGGUGGUCACUGUCCUGGGUUUUGGCUUAGUGUCAGAUGUCAAUAAAACAUUAAAAAAAAAAAAAAAAUCAAACAAGCAAAACCCACCAGCACACAGAGCCACUAAACAUGACUCACCUUUAGAAUGCGAUGAAGAAUAUUCUGGAGCUUGACUCUUGGGGCCCAUUUAAAUACUCCAGUGAUCGUACCUGUGAUGUCAAUAAAACGUCUGGCCCAAUGUUCACUACUGAAAGCCCCCGAGGAGGAAAGUCCAUAUUGAAAAAGAAUUUAAGAUCUGUACUUAUAAUUUCAUAAGAGAGACCCUCCUCGAAGAGUCUUCUUUGCUAAUACUUCUGAAAUGACCUGGUGGUGUAUUUCUACCAGGUUUCACCUUCAGUAUCAAUACUAGUACCAUUCCUAUCUGAAAUGUCUGUUAUAAUUGUGUAAUUACACACCUCAUUUAUCCAAUUGUUAAGCCAGGAGACUGAUUAAAUAUUAACAACUGCUUGGUUCUCCUGGUGUCAUUAGUCGGAACACAACCCUGUAAUCUCAGGUAACACACGAUAGUAAUUAUCCUUCACAUUCACACUUAGCUGAAAACCCAGAGCAGUCAAUCCAGAUAAGGUUGCGUGGUAGAAAAUGCAUUGCCUUUAAAUCC